rnacentral:rRNA from 1 species
AUUGAACGCUGGCGGCAUGCUUUACACAUGCAAGUCGAACGGUAACAGGCCGCAAGGUGCUGACGAGUGGCGAACGGGUGAGUAAUGCAUCGGAACGUGCCCAGUCGUGGGGGAUAACUACUCGAAAGAGUAGCUAAUACCGCAUACGAUCUAUGGAUGAAAGCGGGGGACCGUAAGGCCUCGCGCGAUUGGAGCGGCCGAUGUCAGAUUAGGUAGUUGGUGGGGUAAGGGCUCACCAAGCCAACGAUCUGUAGCUGGUCUGAGAGGACAACCAGCCACACUGGGACUGAGACACGGCCCAGACUCCUACGGGAGGCAGCAGUGGGGAAUUUUGGACAAUGGGCGCAAGCCUGAUCCAGCAAUGCCGCGUGCAGGAAGAAGGCCUUCGGGUUGUAAACUGCUUUUGUACGGAACGAAACGGCUCUGGUUAAUACCCGGGGCUAAUGACGGUACCGUAAGAAUAAGCACCGGCUAACUACGUGC